AACACGUGGGCAAUCUGCCCUUCACUCUGGGACAAGCCCUGGAAACGGGGUCUAAUACCGGAUAACACUCUGUCCCGCAUGGGACGGGGUUAAAAGCUCCGGCGGUGAAGGAUGAGCCCGCGGCCUAUCAGCUUGUUGGUGGGGUGAUGGCCUACCAAGGCGACGACGGGUAGCCGGCCUGAGAGGGCGACCGGCCACACUGGGACUGAGACACGGCCCAGACUCCUACGGGAGGCAGCAGUGGGGAAUAUUGCACAAUGGGCGAAAGCCUGAUGCAGCGACGCCGCGUGAGGGAUGACGGCCUUCGGGUUGUAAACCUCUUUCAGCAGGGAAGAAGCGAGAGUGACGGUACCUGCAGAAGAAGCGCCGGCUAACUACGUGCCAGCAGCCGCGGUAAUACGUAGGGCGCAAGCGUUGUCCGGAAUUAUUGGGCGUAAAGAGCUCGUAGGCGGCUUGUUGCGUCGGUUGUGAAAGCCCGGGGCUUAACCCCGGGUCUGCAGUCGAUACGGGCAGGCUAGAGUGUGGUAGGGGAGAUCGGAAUUCCUGGUGUAGCGGUGAAAUGCGCAGAUAUCAGGAGGAACACCGGUGGCGAAGGCGGAUCUCUGGGCCAUUACUGACGCUGAGGAGCGAAAGCGUGGGGAGCGAACAGGAUUAGAUACCCUGGUAGUCCACGCCGUAAACGUUGGGAA
rnacentral:rRNA from 1 species